rnacentral:rRNA from 1 species
UACGGAGGGUGCGAGCGUUAAUCGGAAUUACUGGGCGUAAAGGGUGCGUAGGUGGUUGAUUAAGUUAUCUGUGAAAUUCCUGGGCUCAACCUGGGCAGGUCAGAUAAGACUGAUUGACUCGAGUAUAGGAGAGGGUAGUGGAAUUUCCGGUGUAGCGGAGAAAUGCGUAGAGAUCGGAAGGAACACCAGUGGCGAAGGCGGCUACCUGGCCUAAUACUGACACUGAGGCACGAAAGCGUGGGGAGCAAACAGG